AACACCAGGGGGCAGCACUGCACCGUUUGUCUCAUUUCCGGGUUGGAGAGUCGGAGGUGGAUGUCAGAGUUCGACUGAAUUCUGUCUCUUUUGUCUUUUGGACUGCCAUCUGCGUCUCUUUGUCUCUGCUGUCGGCCGCUGGUCAUCAGGCGCUCAUGUGAACACAGUCAGCCGAUGCCACUCGUGAUCGAGUCUCGCUGUUGCAGGGAAAUUUCUGCAUUCUUGGUGGAGAUGCAACGUGGUGGUGAAAAUCCUCAAUGUGUCACACAGCUGGCUAGUUUAUCCAUUGUGUGUUUGGAUGCAGAUGUCCUCAGAGUGGCACACUAUGCCGACAUGAUGCUCCACAAAAAUAUCAUCAUAUCGCAUAUCGGCAAUUUGUGCGGUUGUGCCAAGGACACUUGGGAAGGCACAGAAGGUUGGUACUACCAGCUUGUGAUGUAUUCAAAAUGAGUACUUUUCAUCACCAUCAGCCGACUACACUGGCUUCCAGUUUCCUCCUCUGGAGUGAGGGGUUGGGCUCAUCGGUGGUACCUGGUCCAUUUGGCAGCAUCAGCCUCAGCUUUGUCCGUUCACGUUGGCUGCUCAGUGAAGGAGGAUCAUUGGAGA